GACUAUGAUAUUGUCAAGUCAUCUAUAAUACAUAUAUUAUAGAUGACUUGACAAUAUCACAGUA